rnacentral:pre_miRNA from 1 species
UGCUUCACCUGCGGAGCCUGCUGGGAGCGAAAUUGAGAAAGGACAGCGCCAGCCCAGGCAAUUUCACUCACAGCGGGCACUUGCAGGUGAAGCA